rnacentral:lncRNA from 1 species
CAAGCCUCAGCAAUGGCAGAUGCCCCUCCCGCAGCCUCGCUGCCACCUUGCAGUUCGAUCUCAGAUUGCUGUGCUAGCAGUGAGUGAGGCUCCAUGGGCAUGGGACCCUCCAAGCCAGGCGUGGGGUAUAAUCUCCUGGUGUGCUGUUUGCUAAGACCAUUGGAAAUGUGCAGUAUUAAGGUGGGAGUGUCCCAAUUUUCCAGGUACCGUCUGUCAUGGCUUCCCUUGGCUAGGAAAGGGAAUUCCCCGCUGGGAGCUGUAGACUGGAGCUGUUCCUAUUUGGCCAUCUUGGAACCUCACUCUGGGUUCAAGAAAUUCUUGUGCCUCAGCCUCCCAAGUAUCUGGUGUGAGCCACAGGGCCUGGGCCCCACAUCCUCCAAUUCUGAAAGGGUUCUUAAAUAUGUGGUCCUGGCUGGGCAUGGCGGCUCGUCUGUAAUCCCAGCA